AUAACUACUCUUUAUUAAAAGCAUUUUCAUUUCAUCUGUUCUUUAAAACAGCUUUUUCUAUCUCAUAUGUGUGUAAGUGCAGGUAUGAGAAAUAUCACAUUGAUGAAGAUGGGGAAAGAAAAACCAACUAUUAAUCCAUUUAUGUAACUUUUUUAAAUUUAUUAUAGUUUUAGCAAAUCGUAGAAAACUAUAAAUUUUUUAUUCGUUGCGUC
rnacentral:lncRNA from 1 species